GGCAAACUCUGAGCUGUAACCAAUCUAGCUGUUUCUGUACCUCACUUCGCAUUCCUGUCCUUUUUUGUCUAUAAAUUUGUUCUGACCACGAGGCAUCCCUGGAGUCUCUCUGAAUCUGCUGUGAUUCUGGGGGCUGCCCGAUUCAUGAACUGUUCAUUGCUCAACUAAACUCCUUUAAAUUUAAUUCGGCUGAAGAUUUUCUUUUAUCAGGUGGUGUCAGAAGUGGGAUCUGAAGCGGAGGUUCCAGCAACUCCCAGGAGCACUGAAUGAACACACAAGGUAGCUGCAAGACCCACUUGUGUCCAUUGAUCUCUCAGAGCAGCUGGGGAUCGUGGGUAAGCUCCCUCUCAGAUUUCAGAGCUCCCUGGAUUUGUGUUUUGAGCCGAGUUUCUUUGAGCAAAUUUCUGAUCCAAACUGGGUUUGGAGUUGUGACAGAAACUGGACUGGGUUCAGAAACAGAUUUGACCUGGGAAUUAACUGGCUUGGAUCCAGUUAGAGGCCUCUUACUGAGUCAAAAAGGAACUGGUAGUAACCAGAUACAUUGCAGGGGUUAUAAAAUUUGGCUUUUGAAAAUUCACUGGGAUUUUUGUGUUCUACCCGUUUGUUUCAUUUUUCUGGUGGGCUUAGGUAGGAAAAAAAUCAUUGGCUAAGUUAAUCAGGAGAACCUGACAGUAAAGCCAAUAUUUUUGGUAAAAAUUGUAUCCUUAAUUUCUGGUAAACUGUGUUCCUUCUGGCUUAUACAUUAGGCCUGGGAAGCAAUGAAGUUUUACAGAAAUGGCAAAAUCUUAAGAUAACUUACAGUGGAACGUUCGGAAUGAACAAUACAUUGAAGUACAUUUAAAAAUGAGGGCUCUUGGUAAAGUACCUUUUGGCUAAGUAUGGAUUUGGCACUACGGGAUGCCAACUGCUCUUCUCUUUGGAAUAAUCUGCCUUGCACUCUUUGCUGAUGACUAUGGGUGACAAAAUUAGGCACAUACAGAGGGGUUCGACAUGGGGAGUUUUUUCCUCCUUCAAAAGGGGAAACGAGAGCUGAUGGGACUGCUGGAAAAGAUCCCUUUGCUACCAAGAAGCAGCCACCUGAACUUUUCAGUGUUGCUGCAAUAGUCAAAGGUUGUAAAUGCUUGCCAGACAUCUCUGGGACAUCAAAUGGUCUCUCUUCAACUGGAAUGACAAAAGCUGAAAGAAAUGGGUGACCAUGAGGACGCUGCAACUUAUGAAUGACGUGCUGAGACCGGAAACCCAAAAUAAUGAAUCAUAAAAUCUGAGUGGAUCAUCAUGGUGGACGGCAGGCAGGACUAGAUUGCAGCUCUGACUCAGACAAAGCAGUGUGCGGAGGCUCGCACUGUGAAUUUUAGAUCCCGAACAACUGCAAAAACAAACCAGGAAUCCUGAGAGGACCCACAGACCCUCUGGAGGAAGUGGAUUGCUCUUGCAGGACCCAGGAGACACUCCAAACACUAUGAGUGCCCAAACUGAAGAAGUGGGAAAGGGAGAUCCUCUGCUCCCAAACACACACCCCCACUGGGGAAACUGAAGGUCUAGUUUGUGGGAGAAGUUUCCGACAUUACCUAGAGCUGAGUCAAUUUAGAGAGGUGAGUGAAAUACAGGGGUAGAGGAAGCAGCGGGAAAGGCUCUGGGAGCUUGUAGGGUCCCCAAGCAGGGCAUUCCUGCCUGGCACCACAGGGAUCCUUCAGGAGGGCGGCCAGAGGUGUGGGGAAAAUGCCACAGGGAGAAGAAAAAUCUCCAACUGAACUUUGUAACAAUUUGAACUGGGCGAGAAGCCUCCUGGCCAGAACUUGGGGGAGAGUGUGAACUCAGCAUGCAGACUCCAUAGGUGGGGAGAAAAACCAAAGCUCUUUUCUUUCCCAGCUGGGAGGUGGGUAGCCUGAGGCACGUGCUCAAGCCCUACUCAGCCACUGCCUGGAAACAGACUUGGUGCUGUUAGGAGGGGACACGGUGGGAAUGAGACCAGCCCUUCAGAUUACGUGGGAGCUGUGUGAGGCCUGUGACUGCUGGCUUUCCCCCAACUUCCCUGACAACCUACAUGACUCAGCAGAGGCUGCCAUAAUUCUCCUAGGUACACAACUCCAGUGACCUGAGAACCUCACUCCCAUCCCGCACAGCAGCCACAGCAAGACCCACCCAAAGAGAGUCUGAGCUCAGACACACCUAGCCCUGCCCCCACCUGACAGGCCUUCCCUACCCACCCUGGUAGCUGAAGACAAAGGGCAUAUUCUCAUGGGAGGUCUAGGGCCGCACCCACUGCUGGUUUUCUCCAUACUACCACAGCUGAUGGUCUCUGGAAAGCACCACCUCCCGGCAGGAGGCCAACCAGCACAAAAAUAGGACAUUAACCACCAAAGCUAAGAACUCUCACAGAGUCCAUUUCAUCCCCUGCCACCUCCACCAGAACAGGUGCUGGUAUCCAUGGCUGACAGACCCACAGACGGUUCACAUCACAGGACUCUGUGCAGACAACCCCUAGUAUGAGACCAGAGCCUAGUAGACUUGCUGGGUGGCUAGACCCAGAAGAGCUUGGCUCUCAGGAAGCCACAUCCCUAGGAAAAGGGGGAAGAGUACUACAUCAAGAGAACACCCCAUGGGACAAAAGAAUCUGAACAACAGCCUUCAGCCCUAGACCUUUCCUCUGACAGAGCCUACCCAAAUGAGAAGGAACAAGAAAACUAACUCUGGCAAUAUGACAAAACAAAGCUCUUUAACACCUCCCAAAAAAUCAUACCUGCUCACCAGCAGUGGAUCCAAACCAAGAAGAAAUCCCUGACUUACCUGAAAAAGAAUUGGGAGGUUAGUUAUUAAGCUAAUUAGGGAGGCACCAGAGAAAGGUGAAGCCCAAUGCAAGGAAAUUAAAAAAAAAAAGAUACAAGAAGUGGGGGGGGGGACAAAUAUUCAAGGAAAUAGAUAGCAUAAAGAAAAAACAAUCAAAACUUCAGGAAACAUUGGACCAGGAAACAUUGAAACACUUACAGAAAUACAAAAUUCUCUGGAAAGUUUCAGCAAUACAAUUGAACAAGUAGAAGAAAGAAAUUCAGAGCUUAAAGACAAGGUCUUUGAAUUAACCCAAUCCAACAAAGACAAAUAAAAAAGAAUAAGAAAAUACGAACAAAGUCUCCAAGAAGUUUGGGAUUAUGUUAAGUGACCAAACCUAAGAAUAAUCAGUGUUCCGGAGGAAGAGGAGGAAUCUGAAAGUUUGUUAAAAUAGUUGGGGCAAUAAUGGAGGAAAACUUCCCUGGCCUUGCUAGAGACCUAGACAUCCAAAUACAAGAAGCACAAAGAACACCUGGGAAAUUCAUCGCAAAAAGAUGAUUGCCUAGGCAUACUGUCAUCAGGUUAUCUAAAGUUAAGAUGAAGGAGUCAGGUAGCAUGAUGCCUCCGGCUUUGUUCUUUUGGCUUAGGAUUGACUUGGCGAUGCGGGCUCUUUUUUGGUUCCAUAUGAACUUUAAAGUAGUUUUUUCCAAUUCUGUGAAGAAAGUCAUUGGUAGCUUGAUGGGGAUGGCACUGAACCUAUAAAUUACCUUGGACAGUAUGGCCAUUUUCACGAUAUUGAUUCUUCCUACCCAUGAGCAUGGAAUAUUCUUCCAUUUGUUUGUAUCCUCUUUUAUUUCAUUGAGCAGUGGUUUGUAGUUCUCCUUGAAGAGGUCCUUCACAUGCCUUGUAAGUUGGAUUCCUAGGUAUUUUAUUCUCUUUGAAGUGAUUGUGAAUGGGAGUUCACUCAUGAUUUGGCUCUUUGUCUGUUAUUGGUGUAUAAGAAUGCUUGUGAUUUUCGUACAUUGAUUUUGUAUCCUGAGACUGCUGAAGUUGCUUAUCAGCUUAAGGAGAUUUUGGGCUGAGACAAUGGGGUUUUCUAGAUAUACAAUCAUGUCAUCACAGACACUUCUCCAAAGAAGACAUUUAUGCAGCCAAAAAACACAUGAAAAAAUGCUCAUCAUCACUGGCCAUCAGAGAAAUGCAAAUCAAAACCACAAUGAGAUACUAUCUCACAACAGUUAGAAUGGUGAUCAUUAAAAAGUCAGGAAACAACAGGUGCUGGAGAGGAUGUGGAGAAAUAGGAA
rnacentral:lncRNA from 10 species